UUUGUUACCCCACCUAUACUGCUGGUGAAGCUGUGUGGCUGCUUUAAAUUACUGGGCGGCCCCUUUGUACUCUAUAUAUGGGUAGGGGAUGACUAUUCAUGGUGCAUUUCCUGUUCCCCCUCCUCAUUGCUCCGGGCUCUGACUUCCGUGCCGGCAGCGUUCAGCGUGGAGUUUAGCGCGAUUGUUUGCGUUACUUCUCAAGAGUUUCAGGUAUCUGGUUACAGUAUUAUGGCAUAAUAUGACAGUUUGGCUUAAUUAUUAACUCUCCUUAUUCGCUUGUAGUUGCGGGCUCGUGGUGUUAUUGCCAGUCCAGCGCGGCUGUGUGUCUCUGACUGUGUCAGUGCAGUUUCACUUUCACUAAGGUUUUAGUGUCCAGAUUGUGCUGACUGAUUCCAGCCUCCCCACAGUGCUGCUGUUUUGCCUGAGUUUAUUUAGUUUUGUUUCAUUAAUUUUCAUUUGCUCCUAGUUAUUUUGAGUUUUUGUCUUGCUUUUCUUCAUUUCAUUUGUUAAAUCAGCUUUGAUUUGCCUUUAGUUAUUUUGAUAUUUUGUUGUAUUGAUUUUCUUUUGUCUUUAUUUUGAGUUAAGAUUUGCUGGAGUUUAUUUUUGUGUGUUUUUUUCUUUAUUGGAUUAAAAAUAUAUUUCUGCUUUAUUUUUGAUUUGCUGGUUUGGACCUUUGAGGUUUAUUCUGGCUUAUUAAUUUGGGAUUUGCUUUGACUUAAUUUCAGGUUUAUUCCUGAUUUAUUAAUUUGGGUUUGCUUUUGAUUGAUUCCUUUUUGAUUUAUUUCUGAUUUAUUUUGUGGAGUUUUUUUAUUGGAUUAAAUUAAUAUUUUUGCUUUAUUUCUGAUUUGCUGUUUUGGACCUUUGAGGUUUAUUCUGGCUUAUUAAUUUGGGAUUUGCUUUGACUUAAUUUCGGGUUUAUUCAUGAUUUACUAAUUUGGGUUUGCUUUUGAUUUCUUUUUGGUCUAUUUCUGAUUUAUUGUGUGGAGUUGCUUUUGACCUAACCUCUGUUUAUUUAAUUUUUUUUUUGCUGAGUUUGCUUCUGAUUUAAUUUAUUUUGCCAGAUUGAACUUUCAUUUGUCCAUUUACUUUAACAAAGUUUAAGUUUGUUUCUGUGUUUUUUUGAAUUAACAAAAACAAGAAUAGUGGUUGUGGAAUUCCCUUCUUGGCUGUGUGUUUGUCUUUUUAGUGUUGGAGUGGUAUAAGGUGAGGUUGUAAGAGACCAGGGCCCAUAAAAAGAUAAGUACAUUUCGAGCAAUUGUAAUUGGUCUCUCUCCCUUCACCGCUGGUAGCUUUUUAUAAUUGUUUUUUUUCUUUGUGUCUCUUAGUUGGACCGGAGCUGUGGGCCAAAGCGGCGGGUUCGGGGAUGUGGAAUGCUGUUCACCUUUCCUGUAGUGUAGAGCACGCUGGGUGUUGAGAUGUGUGGUUUGUAGUGUUGACUAUUUCCUCUUCCUGUACUUUCUUCUGCCGUGGUAAGCCCUCAGCCCAGUUCCUCCCUAAAUUUGUUUUUAGUAAAGUAAAUUCUACUAUUUCUAUUUUUAUACUGUUGUCCAAGAAGGGAGUUUCUGGUCUGCCCUGUGUGUGUGUGUGGAAAUA